GACCGUGUGGCUCAGUUGGUUAGAGCGUGGUGCUAAUAAGUUGUGGACUUGAUACGCUAAGGUCCUGGGUUCGACCCCCAGCAUGGUCA
rnacentral:tRNA from 1 species